AUAUCAGCAGGGCCACAGUCAUGCCGAGGGCAGACAUGGUGCCGCUGGGGGCCGGCUGCCAGCCUGGGAGGACAAUCCUGUAGAAACGCGGGGCUUUUUAUAUUGUGUUUUGAGAAGGAGGGUGACCCACCAACCAAUGCCAUCUUCCUUCUCGUCUAGCCCAAAUUAUUAGUUUAUUAUUACCUGCUGUUGGCCAUCAUUUCAAAGGCUGAUUCCCUCAGUGGUGGCCCCAGAGGUUUCAUCCAGUGACCUGGUGAGGAUGGAGCUGGGCCGUGUCGACACCCUGGUUGCUGGCACGUGGUGCUGUGCCGGUAAACACAUCCAGGGACAGGUCACCAGCCUGUGUCCCUGGGCUGGAGGUGAAUGUGGGGUGAGGGACUGUCCUGACCUUUGGCACUGGUUGGACAAAGGGGAACUCCAGCCACAUUGCCAUGAAUUUGUUUGGAGUAGGGUUUAUGUAAUGCACCACCAACCACAUGCUGACCGCCUCUAGACAGGCCACCAGCCCUCCUGGUGCAGCAGCCUCUGAUGAGGAGGUUCUUCUGGAAGUCAGACACUCACACAUCCCUCUGAUGUCCCGCUGGGGUGGAUGUUCUGAGACCUGGAAGGGGGAAGAGACCCACUGAAAUCCCAUCUCCCAGCCUCGCCUCUGCUGUCUUUCCUCCACCCUCCCUGUCUCCAGAGCUCCGAGUUCAGCAUAUACAGAAAGCAGCGUGUUCCCUCUCUAGGGAGAGCAGCGUUGGGGGCUGGAGGUCUGGCUGGUCUUGAUCUGAGCAUUUUCCCAGCCUCCUGGCUUCAGACCCCAGCACGGCGGGUGCUGCUGACCUGCUCCCUUUUUCCUGCUUCCAGACCUGGAUGCAGCCCCCGGGAGUACCUGAAUCACCACCUGCCACAAGAAUGGGGCCAGAAGGAAAAUUCAACAUCUGAAUUCUAUUCCACUUUGUCAAAUUAACUGGAAAAUUCCAUGCAAGAAAAAAAAAAGGAAGAGAAAGUUAAUCUCUGAUUAUAUAAAAAAAAAAGUUACACAUUCUUGCUGUGGAAAAUUAAGAAAAAAUAUUAUUUGGAAAAAUUUUAAAUUCAAAUUCUUUUAAAAAUUACAUUAGGGUUUUAUUGGAUUUGUUUUACAUUAGGUUAAAUAUGGAAGUCUGAUUUUAUUUACAUAAAAAUGAGACUACAUACUACAUUUCAACAUGUCUUUGCUGAUCCAGGGCACAGUAGAGCCCCACAUUUACUAGCCCCUUCUUUCACGUUUGAAUCACUUUCUUCAUGCAGGCCCUCUUCCACCUUCUGCCGAGAUAGUCUGGAGCUUCUCUGUGCAUGGUUAGAAUGAAGAGAACGUUUUUAUUCUGUCUUCUAACUGGCCGUAUAUGGAAGUUCUUAAUUCACAGGUUGCAAUUUUAUCCUUUUAUAUUAGCAAUGAAUCUUUACGUAUAAUAGAAAAUACAAUAAGAAAUGAAGAAAAUCAAAGUCAUUUACAAUCCAACCACAUUACUUGUGGAUUUUGAGUUACGUCAUUCUAUACUUUUAUUUAUAUAAAAAUGAGACUACAUACUAUAUUUGGCAUUCUAACCCAGUUUUUCUCUUGACAGUUCAUUAGUCACAUGAGCAAGUCACUGGCUGCACCUCUCCUAAACCAAGAAGGGGCAUUGGCCUCUGGUGGAAGCUUCAGGGCCCUUUGCCUCCCUCCGUUUUUUUCACCCCUCAAGGACCUUCCAGGACAAAGUUAAACAAUCAAGAAGACAGAGUGCCCGUGCCCGGGCCUGUGCCUGUGCCCCUGCCCGUGGCAGGACCUUCCAGGAUAACGUUAAACAAUCAAGAAGACAGAGUGCCCGUGCACACACCUGUGCCUGUGCCCCUGCCACUGCCUGUGCCCGUGCCCGUGCCUGUGCCCACGUCUGUGCCUGUGCCCAGGCCUGUGCCCGUGCCCGUGCCCAUGCCCCUGCCAGUGCCUGUGCCCGUGCCCGUGCCUGUGGCAGGGAGUCCUUCAGGCUUUCAUCACGUCUGCCGUCGGCUGGGUGUGGCAAAGAGGUAAUCGUAUUGGGACAAUUUUCUUCUCUCUCUAGCUAACUGACAGUGUUUAUCAGGGAUGAGAGCUGGGUUAAUGAAAUGUCUUUUUGAUUGAGACAAUUCUAUGAUUUUUCUCCUUAGACCCGUUAGUGUGAGGAUGGAUGAAAACACUGUCUCACAAUGUACCAUAUACUUUUAUAUCACAUCAUUAAUAUAUGAUCAUAGUUCCACAUCGCAACCGACUCUUUCAUGGAGUGAUACUCUUUUGACACUCGAAGGAGUCAACUUGUUAAUAGUAUUUUUGGUAAUUUUGCAUCUGUACCUGCAAAUAAAAUUGGGCUGUAGCUUUUGUGUUGCAUUAGGUUCUUGCAUAGAAAGUGCACCGUUGUAGAAACCAUUGCAAAACUCCCGUCUUCUGUGUGCGUGGGGAUACUUUGUAUUGUAGGGGAAUUGUCUGCGCUUUGAAAUUUGAUAGAACUCACUAGUAAAGCAAUAUAGAGAAGAUUUUUUGGAAUUGAAUAAUUGUUUAUAAAGAUUAGAGAGAUAAUUUUGAUUGGGGAAAGUAAAAUAUCUCCUUUUAACAAAUGCAAACAACACAGAAGUGGAUGAAGUGAAAACUGAGAGUCACAAAUUUACCCGACAAAGGCAGCUUCCAUAUUUUAAACCCCAUCAAGAAGGAAAAAUCCUGCUAAUGCUCUUUUUAUUUGUAGUUUUUAUUUUAUACCUCCUAAAAUACUUCUUUUGCACUCACUUUGAUUCUGUAUAUAAUGUGGAUUUGACUUAGUAGUAUUCUUUUAUUUUGGCCCAAGAGACUUCCUUUAGUAUUUCUUACGAUAGGCUUAUGAAUUCUCUCUGUUUUAUCUGAGAAUGUCUUAUUUUCUUUCUUUUUGACAUUUGAUCUUAGCCAAAAGGCUAAGAUAUAUUUUGAAUUUUAAUUAAUUAAUUAAUGGGGGAGUGUAUGAGAAAAUGUGCUGGACAAAUCCUAAAAGAGCUGUAAUGCUUCAUUCUUUUUGGAAGCGUAUUUUCUGGACACAGAAGUAUUGGUCGGCAGUGUUUUCCUUCAGUGCCCUGACUCUAUCAUCUCACUGACUGCUGGCCCCAUGGCUUCUGGUGAACAGGGGCUGUUAUUUUCUUGGGGGCUGAUUUACCUAACACCUCAUCUCGCUGUUGCUGCUUCCAGGACCCCCUCUUUCCCUUUGAUUGACACAGCAUGUGCAGGUGUGGCUCUCCUUCCAUUUAUUCUCUUUUGAGUUGGUUAAGGUUUUGGAUAUGUACAUGGAUCUUUUUCAUCAAAUUUGGGGAAUUUUGAGCCAUUAUUUCUUCAAAUAGUAUUUUUGUCCCCCUGUUUUCUCUCUUUCUGACAUUCCCACUGUGCCUGUGUAGAUGCUCUUGAUUAUGUCCCACAGGUCUCUAAGGCUCUAUUCACUUUUUUUAAACAAUUUUGUUGGUGUUCACAUUGCCAUUCUGGAGAAACAGAUCUUCAGAGCUUCUUAUCCUGCCAUUCUGGAAGUGCUUCUCUUGUCUAUCUUAUUUGUCAAGAAAAUAAGAGCUUUCCAAGAAACUUUCAGAAAAUCUGAGGUUUUUAAAUUAUUGGCUAGAAUGUCACCACUCCUAUUGCAAGAGAGGCUGGAAAGUGGAAAGAAUUUACGUGAAUGUGUUAAAAGGUGAAGGGAAUUAGGAACAGGAUUUGAUUACUAAUAAUAGCAUGUACUAUACUCUGAUUAAAAGCAUUCUGUGUGUUCUUCCAAACUUUAAAAUAAUUUAUAUAAACAUACAGCACAUACUACAUUUUAUGAAUAUUUCACAAUUUGUCUAUUUUGAGUUGACAAAAAAUUCAAAUGGUUUCCCCAAUUAUUUAUGUUACAAAAGGUGCCACAAUGGUACCCUAUGGAUGUGUUCAGACAUGCAUGUACCUCUGUAAGUCAGUUUUGUGGGAGUGGAAUGGUUAGAUCACUGGAUAUGUGGACUUAAGAUGUUAACACAUAAAAAAAAUUGCUUCCUCAAAAGGUUGGAACACUAUAAACCCCCCCACAGUACUAUGGGAAUGCCAAUUUCUACGUAUCUUUUCCAACAUUGGAUACUGUCAGCCACUGAUAACUGAAAAUUCACGUCAUUACUUUAUUUUGCAUUUCUCUGGUUAAAAAAGAAGGAAAGCAUCUUUUCAUCUAUUGAUUAUUUAUUUGAUUUUUUUAAUGAAACAAUUCCUUUUCUUUUCAUAUUGGCAUUUUACAUAUUUCCUCUCAUUUUAGAGACUCUUUGUCUAUCAAAUAAAUAGUAGUUGUUUUUAUGUUUUAUGGUUUGGAAGUUACUCCCAGUCUCUUGGUUGAUUGCCCAUGUAGAAAAUUAGAUUUUUAUACAGUUAAAAUUUUCAGACUUUUCCUGUAUAGCCUUUGGAAUUUAGACAAUGUUUUCUAAAAGACUUUCCCCAUCAAUUAUUUUUAAUUUAAAAGUUGCCUUUAGAAAAAAUCUAUAUGAUCUUGUCUUUUUUAGAUAAGGUGCUCUGAUUCCUCCCACUAUAACCAUGUUUUAUUAAAUUAUUUAUUUUUUAAAUCUCAGUUAUUUUCAAUAUAUAUUAAAAAUCAGCAAUUAAUCUUCUACUUGUACCUUUUACUGUUAUAUAAACAUCCUUUUAUCCCUCUGAUAAUUGUUGCUACAUGUGUUUGCUUUUUGUAGAAUCUCCCUGGUCUAUCUUUGUUCAUCAUCGUAUUUAAAGUAUCUUAAUGUCAUUUAGUUCUUGAUAGGUGUCCUGUAAACAUUCCAUAGCUUUGACAUAAAGUUGUUCCUUUUAAUAGGAGAGUUAAACAGUAAUAUUUAUCACGAUCACUAACUUUGGCUGCCACGAUGUAUGUGUGUGCAUGUGUGUGCAGGUGCGCAUGUGUGGGUGUGUGCAGGUGCGCAUGUGUGUGCAUGUGUAGGUGCGCAUGUGUGGGUGUGUGCAGGUGUGCAUGUGUGCAGGUGCGCAUAUGUGUGCAUGUGUGUGCAGGUGCGCAUGUGUGGGUGUGUGCAGGUGUGCAUGUGUGUGUGCAGGUGCGCAUGUGUGUGCAGGUGCGCAUGUGUGGGUGUAUACAAGUGUGCAUGUGUGUGCAGGUGCGCGUGUGGGUGUGUGCAGGUGCGCAUGUGUGUGCAUGUGUGUGCAUGCGCGCAUGUGUGGGUGUGUGCAGGGGCGCAUGUGUGUGCAGGCGCGCAUGUGUGUGCAUGUGUGUGCAGGCGCGCAUUGUGGGUGUGUGCAGGUGCGCAUGUGUGGGUGUGUGCAGGUGCGCAUGUGUGGGUGUGUGUACGGGCGAGUGCAUGCGCAUGUGUGUGUGUGUGUUCCCUUUCCCUAUGUUUAAAACGAUCAUAUUUUGUUUGUUCUUUUUGUUUGUUUGUUUGAUGAUUUGGAAUCUUGAUGUCCUGUUGUUAUUCUACCAGUGGUUACCCUUGAAUCUGAAAGUACAUAUAGACUUACAGUUUUUUUAUUAACUUGAAGAAUUUGUCGAUGUCUUCUGAUAUGAACAAGAAGAGACCUUUAGCACACUUUUCGUCUCUACUUCUCUUGCAAAAUAAAAUCUACCUCAAAUCUCGGGAAUUUUAGUUUUAGAAUAUGAGUUUUAAAUUUGUUCAAAUAUACUUUCUAUUUUAUAAGUUUUUAUCGAGGGCAUUCGUAUUUACAGCCACCUAUCGAGUGAUUAUUUGCUUUCAAGUCUAUGGUGUUCCAGUCCCUUUGCCUGUUACUUCUAUGUCAUUAUCUUGCCUUCCUCGGAUUCCUGCUCCUAGACACACGAAAGCUUCCACCUUCAGGACACAGUUUUAUGGGGAGAGGGUGAGCCACACGAGGGGGCGGACCUGGAAUGCGGCCUCCCUCCAUAGCCAAGUUCUCUUCCGGGGCAGAUCGCGUGGCGAAAAUGUUUCAGACUGACAGCGAGCUCGCCGCCCCUCCGUUCCCACUGCGAGCGGGAAGCAUGAAACAUCCCCGAAGGGCUCCAGGAGGACCAUCCGCAGCGCGAGGCCUUGGCCCACAGAGCUAAGAGGCAGAAGAAGAUCACUUUUCUGGGCACACAAAAGGCUGUGAUACGAAGGGAGGGGAGUACGGACGGGGACGAGAACACGCUCUGAAUGGCGGUUCGAGGGCCGUCUGCCGGAAACCUGCUCUUGUUUUGUACCGUCAGCCCCGCUGGGACCUGGGCAGACCUCGGCGUGGCAGGCGUCUAAAGUUCACUGAAAACGAUGACCUCGUCAGAAGCCAAACGUCCUUUCCAAGCAAAGCAGGAGCCGAGAACACACAGGCUCGCCGCGUCCAAAGGGCAACCACGCGGCUGCAGGUGCAAAGCCCCCCGCCCGGGACGCGGGCUGCCGGGAACCGGGGCCGCCUGACGCUGACGCUGACGUGACGCUGACGCUGACGUGACGCUGACGCUGACGUGACGCUGACGCUGACGUGACGCUGACGCUGACGGGCAGUGACGGCUCUGGAGCCAACGACGCCAAGCGCCAGCCCGGCGGGUGGGGCAGGGCGCCCUCCGGGGUCCGCGGGGGCUGCAGCUCCAUGAGGCCCCGGGGACCCGGCUCGCCUGGGCCCCGCCCGCCAGAGGGCGCCGGAGAGAAGCCGCGGGGAGGCCCCGCCCUGUUGCCCUGACGCCCCGAGCGUUUCAGAGGCGGGAAAACACGCGCGGAGCGCUGUGGAUUAUCAAGUGUGGUGACACGAACCCCAGGCGACCCGCUCCCAACCCCAGCGACAGCUCAUUCAAGGAGAUGUCAUCACAUUUAUAUUCCCUGAGGCUUGAAUGUUUUGCUCAUCGUUUAUCGUUACCGCGUUGUGAGAUGUUGCUGCACAGAGUUCAUCGACGUUGACUUCACAGCCAUGAAUAUGCCACACUUUGCUUAACCACUGUCCUGUGAGAUGAUUCCCAAGGUUUUGCUAUUGCAGACUAGGGACAUUUUCACACAUGCUUCCGGGAGCACUGUGUAAGAAUGUCUCUAGGCCAGGUGUGUACCUGGGCAACCUAAUGUACGUGGAGCCAGAUUGUUUUCCAAGUAUUUGACCAUGUACAUGCGUACAGUGGUGUCCAAGUGGUCCUGCUAUUCUCAACAGCAGGUACUAAAAGGUUUCUUAAUGUUUUCCCAUCUGGUGGAUAUAAAAUGGUGUUUAAUCGUGGUCCCAUUUUGCAUUCCCUGAUUAUAAAUUAGAGAAAUUUUCUCUCUUGUCAGAAUUACACACACUCUUCUCUGAAAUGCCUACUCCUGUAUUUUAAGUAUAUUGCUCUCCUCUUCCCUUGGGGUUUGCUUGUAGGAAUGCUUUAUUCUCAUCCUUACUCAGUUCUGUGUGUUGCAGUAACUUUUCUCUUUAGAUUACUGUUCUACACUAUCCAUGGCAUUUUUUUUUUAUGAACAGAUGUUCUCAAGUUAUCAGUCUUUCAUUUUUGGAUUAGUGCUUUUUGGGUUUUAAAAAAAUUCCCUCUUCCAGCCUGGGUGUUGGAGUGACACCAUGUCCCAAAAAUAAAUAAAUAAAUAAAUAAAAUAAAACUUUAUUAGCCAGAAAGAUUAGAAAGAUAACUAUUUAUAAAGUGGUUUUUUUGUUUGUUUGUUUUUCGAGAUUGUGUCUCACUCUGUCACCCAGGCUGGAGUGCAGUGGCUCAAUCUCAGCUCACUGCAUCCUCUGCUGCACUGGUCCAAAUGAUUCUCCUCCCUCAGCCUCCCAGGUAGCUGGGAUUACAGCCUCCUGUCACCGUAUCUGGAUAAUUUUUUUUUUGUUUUUUUUGUAUUUUUAAUAGAGAUGAGAUUUCACCAUCUUAGCCAGGAUGGUCUUGAACUCCUGACCUCGUGAUCCACCUGCCUCAGCCUCCCAAAUUACAGAAGUGAGCCACCACGCCUGGCCUAUAAGGUUUUACUGUUCACAUGUAUGCCCUAAAUAGAUGUAGAAUUUAUUUUUAUGCAUAGUAAGGACUAAGGAAGUUUGUUUUCCCAUAUAGGUAUGAAUUGUUCCGGGAUCCUGUCUCUGAUCCCCAAUUCUUCUUCCAGCACAAGACAAAGUUCUUACACAGGGGAUGCAUCAGAGGCCUGUCUCUCCCUGGUCCAAUGCCACAGCAUUUUAAUUAUUAUAGCUUUGUAGUAGUAUUGAUAUCAAAUAGUGCAAGUGCCACCACCAUUUCUUAUUUCAAGAGUGCAUUGGGUCUUUGUUCUUCCAUACAUAUUUUAAGACUCAGUUAAAUCUCCUGAAGAAGUCUUUUGGGGUUUUGAUUGGAAUCACAUGAACUCUGUGAAUUAAAUAUCUUUAAAAUACCUAUUUUUCCUUUCCAUGACAUGGAAAUCCGUUUCCAUUUAUUCAGGCCAUUUUUAAAUGUUUUGGAUAAAUUAUAUAAUUUUCUGCAUAUAAAUUGGACACAUUUUUGUUAGAUUUACUCUUAGGUAACUUUGAGUUUUUUAAGCAGAGUUCUUGAUAAAUUACAUUUUCCAACUGCUUACUGCUAGCUCGCAGCAACACAAUGAUUUCUGUCUAUUGAUCCUACAGGCAGCCUCCUUGCUAAACUCUCUUAUUACCAAUCAUUUCCGUGCGGAUUCUUUUGUGGUUCCUCAGUAGGGCCACCCUAUCAUCUGUGACCGAUGAGAGUCUUGCUUUACAUCUUUCAAACCUCAUUCCUGUAAUUACUCUCUUUUUUGUAUAAUUGAACAAAUAGAUCCUCAGAGCAUUGUUUCCUUGAUUUUUAUUUUAAUAGGAACUAUCUCAGAAGUUCUCUAAGAGGAUGCUCAGUAGCCAUUGCCCCUUUGUGAAUGAUGUUUGUUGUGGGGUUUUGAUAGGUAUCCUUUGUGAGUUUAAGAAAAGUCCCUUUUAUUUCUAGUCUACUAAGAAUUUUUAAGUUAAUGAUUGAUAUUGAAUUGUACUAAAUGCUUCUUUUGAAGUGAUCAGAUGAUUUUCCCCGUUAAUUUGUUGAAGUGGUGAAUACAUUUAUAUAUUUGAACCACUGUUGGGACCCUGGAAUAAACACAAUUUGGUCUUGACACUUUGUCUUUUUAAUGUAUGGACAGAUUCGCACCCGGAGGAAGGGCUCACUGGCAGCUGCCUUUGGUUUGCUCACAGGCUGUUUUGGAUUUCUGCAUCUGUGCUCAGUAUGAGGCCGGCCCAUAGUUUUCUCUUCGGUCUUUCUGGGCUUUGAGUACCGAAAUUGUCCAGGCUCCAUAGAAUGAUUUGAUGAUCUUCAUUCAUGUUUGAUCCUUUUGAACAGUUUACAUAAGAUUGAAAUAAUCUAAUAGGUUUAGAAGAACUCACUUUUGAAGCCAUAUGGUAUUUUAUUUGUGGAAACAUUUAGAAUUAAUAAUUCAAUGUAUUUAAGAGCAGUAUACUGGUCAGGCUUUAUACUUGAAUUAAUUGUAAAAUCCACAUUUUUCCUAGGAAUUUGUGAUUCCUUGUAAGCUUUCAAAUUUACUGACAUAAUCUGUUUUAGUGUUGUCUUAUCUUUACAAUCAUCAUUGUGUUUACGUUGUGUUCCCUUUUCACCCCAAACAUUGUUUAUUGGUGCUCAGAAGCAGUUUGUCUACUUUACUAAUCUUUUUCGAAGAGCAAUUGUUGGUCGUGUUCCUUUCCAUUUUCUCGUUAUUUUGUAUUUCACGACCUCUGCCUUUGUCAUCUUGCCCCUGGCCUUUCUUUGGGUAGUUUCCAUUGGACCUUUGGCUUAGAUAUUAAUUUAAUAAAAUAUAUGUAGGUUAUGUCAUGUUCAUAGGUUGGAAAAGAUUCUUGUUAAUGUAUCAGUUGUCUCCAGUUUUAUCUAUAAAUUCAAUGCUAUUCCAUUCAGUAUCUCAGCAAUCAGAUAUUGAUCAAAUAAUUCUAAGAUUUACAUGGAAAGGCAAAGGAACUAGAACAGUCAAAAUGAUUCUGAAAAAGAACGAAGUUGUGGGACUCUCAUUAUCCAGUUUAUUCCCUCUACCCAAUUUAAAAGAUGUGGAGGUUGUGGUGCUUUUCGUAUAUCUAUCUUGUUUGGAAGUUUCAUAUGCAGAAAAUAUGUCAGUUGUAUAGCAUAGCCCCGGAAAUAGAGUUCUAUCUAACACUUCAUAGUCUGUACUUUUUUAACUUAAAACUCUAUUUACAAGGACAAUCGUCUGUGUCGUAUAUUUUGCCCAGAAAGAAAUCCUGCAAAGCCCAGACUCAUCAAGUGCAUGCCAGGGAAUAACCUUUGAAUCAAAUCAAAUGAUAAUAUGUUUCCAGAGUUAGACUGAUCUGCAAAAGAGCAGAUUAAAUGAUGAUGAACAGCAAAAUGUGAAAAGCUGGCACUAAGGCACUUCUGACAGUAGGUAUGAGGACAUCGCCAGUGUGUACCAGUUUCAAAAGAUCUUAUUGUUUUAGUAACUUGAUUUCAACUUCUAGUUAAUGAAGAUUGGGGAGUUACCUUUUAACUACUUCUAACUUUGUUGGCUUAUGAUCAAAGAAUGUGGACUGCACAGUGUUUACAUUUUAUAAUUUGGUAAGAUUUACUUCGUUCCCAAGUACAAAAUUGAUUUCUGUAAUUGGGACAUCAACACACAAACAAAAUGUCUAUCUUAUGUUUAAAAAGUAAGUUUAAUUAUUACAUUAUUCAGUUUUUUCUGUGUGUGCUUUUUGCACAAAAUUUGUCCAAUUCUGAGAUUGUGUUUUGAAGGUUACCACUGACAUAGAAUUUUUGUCUAAUUCUUUUUUUUUUUUUAUUAUUUCUAGUAGAUCUCAGUUCAAACAUUUAGUUUCAUGUUGUUUGGUAUAUAGAGAUUUGUGGCUGUUACAUUAUCUUCAGAAAUUAUGCCUUUUAUAAUUGUCUACUACCUGUUUGUGUCCUGUUUAGUACAUUGAACUAUAAAUAUUGCAGCUUUUGUAAUCUCAAUCCUACCAAAUGCAUAAGGAAACACAUGCUAAGUGUAUAGCCUGAUGGGUUAUCACAACAUGAGUGUGGACAUGCUGAUGGACUUUCAGAGUAGAAAUCAAACAUCACCCACCUCAGGAAAACAUCACUUUCUGUCCCCAGUUCCUUCCCCAGUCCUAGGGGAGUUUAUCCUAACUUUUAACACCACAGAAUAGUCCUGGCAACUUUUAGACUUUAUGUGACAUUCAUUGAAUCACACAGUAUGCAGUAUUUGUGUCUUAAUUCUUUUACUUGACUUCCUGUUUGUGUGAUUCACGCAUAUUGUUACUUUUUCACUGCUAUAUAUUAUUCCACUUCGUGAGUAUAGCGUGUACCCCAAAUGAUACUAUUUUUUUCUAGUUUUUUGCUAUUGCAAAUAAUGCUAUCAUGAGCAUUUCAGUUCCUGCCUUUUAAUGCACAUGUGUUGCUUAUUUCUGCUGUUUAUAUAUCUAAAAGCGAAAUUGCUAUAACAUAAGGUAAGCACAAGUCAUAAGUCAAGGUUCUACGCAUGUGUGAGUCAGGACUUUGUGUGGCUCCAUCGGUUUAUUCGUGCCUUCUUGCACCGAUCCCACACGGUCUUAUUUAGAACCAUUUAAAAAUUAGUCUUGAUAUCUGAUAGUGUAACUCUUCCAACUUCGUUCCUCUCCAAGGGGAUAUUCUUGACCCUUUGCAUUUCUACCUACACUUUAAAGUCAUCUUGUCCAUUUCUACUAAAAACUGCUGAAAUGACUAGAACUGCACUGAAUCUACGGAUCAAUUUGUGAAGAACGGAAACGCUGCAAUUAGAGCAUUGACUGCUCUAAAUCUUAAACAUGGUGGCACUUAUUUCUGUGCAAAGAACCUCCCAGAACCCUCUCCUGAUCAGGCUGGGCUGGAAUGAGUGGCCUUUGCAGGUGGGGUGGGUGGAGUGUCCCUGCCUUCCUUCAGGUCUGUGCAGCUCUGCUUCACAUCUCACCCUCUUUGGAGCAGUGCGGAGCCGACACGUGUGUCCUCAUGUCCGUGGUGGGAGCACCUUCUCAGACACUUCCUUGCAUUGGUUGCUCACUGUUUUAAUCGUGUACUGUUGGGUCUGACUUGAAGUUGGAGAAAUCUGUGACCCACCAGAGGGCUCAGAAGACAUAUCUGGAGUUUUUGCAUUCUCUUUGUCUGUUGCAGAAAAGUUGUUCAAAGCUAAGAUUCAGGAUGUGAGGGCACUCAUGGCAAUUUCCCUGCUGCACUGAUUUUGGAAUUUUCUUUUUUUGUUGUUGCUCCAUUGUUAUUCUUUGCUAGUUUCAAAAAAGGAGAAUAUAGUAAAAAUGACGCAUCCACCACAUUAAACAGAAGUCUCCAUGUUACUUUUUGUUCUUUUAUUUUUCAAAAUCAUCAUAUGUAAAUAGACUUUUCUUCCUUUGGUGUACAGAUCUAUGAAA